AUCACUUCUUGGCCUUUUGGCUAAGAUCAAGUGUAGUAUCUGUUCUUAUCAGUUUAAUAUUAGUCAUGACACCAUAAAAGACCUAGAAGAAAACAUUGGCAGGAAAAUCUCAGACAUUCCAUGCAGCAAUAUUUUCACUGAUAUGUCCCCUAAAGCAAGAGACAUAAAGGAAAGAAUAAACAAAUGGGACCUCAU